rnacentral:lncRNA from 1 species
UGUACUAUCCUUGUGGUUUAAGCCACAGAGAGUCAAGUGUUCCUUUAUUUUCAGUCAACAAAUUUUAAUUGAUAAAAACUGUGAAUGCUGACAUUUUGGCAUACAGGAGUUUAUAAAGGGAUUGCCAGCUGAACUUAAUUUUAGAUAUCUUAUGGAUCAUAAAUAAUUAUGAAGAAAGAAUCCAAACUGGGAGAUUGGUUUUAAUACCCAAUGCCCACAUUUUAAAAUUGCGCUUCGGAGGAAGUGGAUUUGGGGGUUGUGGCAGAGCAGUGCCUUUGUGCUAGGAUGACGAGACUGGAGAGAAGCAGACCCAUCUGGUUUGGCCCCGAGGUUACUACAGGACAGUAGAGUCCUGUGUGGUGGAGCAUCUGUGCUGUACACCUGUUUCCCCCCCACUAUUCAGUUCUCUCAGGGCCACAGCUAGGGGUCUUACUGGAGCUGCAGCUACCAGCGUACACUACAGCCAGAGAAACUCCUGAUUCGAGCCAUACCUGUGACCUACUCAUGGCAAUGCUGGAUCCUUAACCCACUGGGUGAAGCCAAGGAUGGAACCCAAAUCCUCAUGACACAAAGAAGACCAGCCAAGGGCUCAGAUGGGGUCUGGGAUGAACUAAGAAGAGCCACUUCAGGAAAUCUGCUCCAGUGCCAAGCUCAAAACAGGGACCUGGCAACAGAGCAGAGAGAUUUUUCUGGAGUGUUGAGGGGACUAUGUUUUUCACUAUAUUUUCCCCAGCACCUUUCACUGAGAAAGAUAACCUGCUACCAUCUUUAAUAUGCACAUUGGUGCUGAGCAUUCGCAUGGGGACGUUCCCACCAGGGAUAAAACCCAUGCCACAGCAACAACCCAAGCCACUGUGGUGACGAUGCUGGAUAUGUAACCCACUGCACCGUGAGCCAUCUCUUCAUUUUCCUGUGUUACAUGCAUUUUUCCUGGAUUUUUGGAAAGGAUCUGGCAGAGAAACCUAUGCCCUUGGCUAUGAAUUCAGCCAGUUGGGUAUGCCCCUACGCAGAUUUCAGAAGAGAGGAGACUUUUGAAGAGAUGAGUCAUGCAGCUUCAGGGAGAGAAUUGAAAAGGAGAACACCAGCAAGGUUCUGGAGUGAGAGGAUUGAAAAGAUCUUUCAUUAUUUCGCACAACAAAAAGGAGAUCCUGCUGAAUAGCAUUGAGAACUAUGUCUAGAUACUCAUGCUGCAACAGAAGAAAGGGUGGGGGAAAAAACUGUAACUGCAAUGUAUACAUCUAAGGAUGACCUGACCCCCUUGCUGUACAGUGGGAAAAUAAUAAAAAAAAAAAAAAAAGAGAGAGAGAGAGAGAGGAGGAAGAAAAAGAAAAUGCAAAUGAUGUUAACAGAGUUGGGAAUUGAUUAGGUGUGUGAAAGAGAGAUGGCUCUUACGUUUUAAGACUGGAUUUCACUGGCAUUGAUGUUAUAAAAUUAGAAAUGUAGGAAAAUGAACAGGUUUUGAGAUAAUAUGAUCAAUAAAAUUUUAGUCAUAAAAAAAAAA